CUACGGGUCGCUCCAGUGAGGAAUAUUGCACAAUGGGGGGAACCCUGAUGCAGCAACGCCGCGUGGAGGAUGACGCAUUUCGGUGUGUAAACUCCUUUUAUAUGUCAAGAAAAUGACGGUAGCAUAUGAAUAAGCACCGGCUAACUCCGUGCCAGCAGCCGCGGUAAUACGGAGGGUGCAAGCGUUACUCGGAAUCACUGGGCGUAAAGGACGCGUAGGCGGGGUGGAAAGUCAGGUGUGAAAUCCUACAGCUUAACUGUAGAACUGCACUUGAAACUUCUAAUCCAGAGUAUGGGAGGGGGAGAUGGAAUUAGUGGUGUAGGGGUAAAAUCCGUAGAUAUCACUAGGAAUACCUAAAGCGAAGGCGAUCUCCUGGAACAUUACUGACGCUAAGGCGUGAAAGCGUGGGGAGCAAACAGGAUUAGAUACCCUCGUAGUC
rnacentral:rRNA from 1 species